ACCACCAUUCGGUAACAAACAAAAUGGCGUCUGGGAAACUCUUUUGAACGGUGUAAAAUUGCAUCAAAAGUCAUGUCCAAUAAGGUUAAGUCAGGGAUCUUCAUCGGGGGAUUUGUAGCAUUCACUCUUGCCGCGUUGUAUCCUGCUGUGAUCUACCCAAAAUUACACCCUGAAGUUUUCCAGCAAAUUCAGAAUGAAACGAGAAGAGAUAUAAAACAAGAAGAGAUUCAACCAGGAAAUAUGAAGGUCUGGUCUGAUCCAUUUUCAAGAAAAUAAAUCCAAAGAUGUUACAAAAGACCUGCUUUCAACUGCUUUCAGAGAAGAGGAACAGUGAGUGGAACAGAAUGCAAAGACCACCUCCAGUUACAUUCUGUGAAACAAUUUUGUCCACCAGACCACUGUUAACAUGAACAACAUUCAAUAAAAUGUAAUCUGAUGUAAACAAUAAAAAAUAAUUUUUUCAAUAGAAAUUUACUCGAGUUGUAAAAUUUCCUGCUGUAAAUUAAGGCAGAUGAUUAUAAAAUCAUGCAAAUGGCUCACAGCUAAAGGUCAUCUGUGCCUUGAGGGGCCUAUUGUGGGGGUGGUGCUUAUUCGAGUAAAUGUUACUCCUUUGUAUUCAUAGUGUACUUUGUCUUGAAUGUUAAGAUUGCGACAACAUCACAGCAUCCACAGACAGCUAACACUUCGCUGUUAUAAAACACUUUAUUUCUAGAACUUUUGUCUUCAAAUAGCUACUAAAACCUAAUAUUGUUACAACUGCCUCUAAAGUUGGAUUUACAUUAUUCAUUUACAUUGUUUCAAUCAUUAAAGGCUAUCAAGUUGCUAAUAAAAUGUUAAAUAAAAAUUAUUUCACAUUAAAUUUCAUGAAGUAUUUUA